GGUGAUAGACAAAGUUCAUAUGUGGUAUUUCGCCUUAUAGUUAUAUUGCUGAAGAAGAAUGUUGAGCCGAACUAAUAACUAUUUUUUCGCGCACUGCCUCAACUUUACCUGCACGACCUUUGAUUCAUCACCUUAAAAAAUUAUGGAUUAUAAAUCAAAAUAAUCAGUAAAAGCUUCACUAGAGCUAAAGAAAAAAGUAUACAAAUCAAACAGUGAACAAAUAAACUAUACAUGGAUUAAACAUAGAAAAUUAAAGAUGAUGAUGAUGAAGUCUUUGAUAGUCUGUUAGCAGCCCAAAUCGGGUAUCUAAGUUAAAUAACCUCUAAUAUUACAUAAUUUUGAGAAAUAUGGGGAUAGACAAUAAUAAGUGCAGUAAAUGUGGGCUUCUUCUUUUUUAACACAACAAAUAUGUGCUUAAAUGUGAAAACAUGACUAACUAAUAUUCUAAAUUCUAAGAGAUAUUACAAUUACUUUUAAUUUACUACAUAGUAUAACAAAGUUAGGUAUCUAAGUUAGAAAAUUCAUAGGGUAUCUCCCGUGAGCCCAAAAAGAAUUAUACAUACAUAUAGACCUGGCAAAAUUUAGUUUGGGUUUGGGUUAAAUAAUACUCCGUCCAUUUCACAUUAUAAGAUUAUUAAUACUUCGUUUUUUUUCAAAUUAUAAAAUUAUUAUUGACAUUUGAAAGUCAAUUUGAGACAUUUUCAAACUCAAAUCGACAAGAUUCAUUAAAGUUAUGAAGCAAUAAAGCUUAUAAUUAGUAGUACUUUUUAGACUAUUACACUAUUCUUAAUUUUAUUGACUAAAACAAAUGAAUCUAUGUCAAUUUUGAGUUCAAAAAUAUCUCAAAUUGACUUAAUAAACAUCUUAUAUUUUGCAAUGAAGGGAGUAUACGCUUUUAGGUUAGUUAAAAACCAAAAGUAUAUAACCUAUUGAGUAGGUUGAACCCAGAUAAUUUUGGGUUAAAACUAAGUAACAUAUAUUUCAGACCAUGAGAGAGGAUCCAAUGCUUGUGAUAGGCUUCAUACACACAAGGCUUGAAACACCAAAUGUAACAAGCAAAAUUUAACAUUGAGGAAUAGUGUAUCGAUUCAUGAUUCAAGAGAGGAUUUGAAACUAAGGGCAAACAGAUAAGCUUGAUAUAUAUAUAUAUAUAUAUAUAGCCAGCGGAUCCAGUCCGGACCCGGACUGAAGUAAAAUACGGACCUAAUUUUUUUUUUGGCUUUUUUGCUUUUUUUUUUAAACUAAAAAAAAAAAAAAUUAUGGAACUGAAAUUUUCCCAUAAUAUAAUGUUUUGGGUGUGAUUUGGAUACCUAUACCAAAAAAUGUAUGUAUAGUCUGCACAGACUGUACAGACAUGUUUUGUUAUAUGUAUUCAAAUCACACACAAAACACUGUAUUAUGUAAAAAUUCCAGUUCCAUAAAUUUUUAUUUAUUUUUUUUUAGUUGUUUUAAAAAAAAAAGCAAAAAAAAAAAGUCCGCAUUUUAAGAAAAUGCGGGAGUCCGGAUUGGAACCGGACUCUCUCUCUCUCUCUCUAUAUAUAUAUAUAUAUAUAGAGAGAGAGAGAGAGAGAGAAGGCUGAGGGAAUAGAGGACCAAGUGUCAAAGUAAAACAGAGGAUUAGAAUUUGACGACAAAAUUGUGGUGGUUGAGGUAUUAGAUUUGACAAAGGUGGCUUCACUAAUAUGGAGGAGAGCUGGGUGGCGGCGUUAACGAUGGCGGAGAAGGAGCUGAUGAAGAGAAUAGAAAGAAAAAACGAUGUUAGUGUGACACGGAAAAUUUUCCUCUUCAUUAGCCGCGUCGACCUGCUACAUUAUUUUUCUUUGUCUGGAUUUGUAUCAUAUAUUAAUGUUGAUCACCAUUUGCUGGACUAUUUUUCCUUGUAUGAUUCUUGUAAUCUUUGCUUAUGGAAUGAUAUUUAUUCUUUUGUUUCUAGUCCAGACACUUCAUUCUCAUAUCUCAGCACACAAAAGGAAACCACAUUUAUCUCAAAUGACCAAAAUAAAAAAUAAUACAGUUUAGUAUCAAGAUAAUAAGUUGUUAUUUUUACCCAAUUUUUAUAGAAGUAAAAAAUGUAAUCUUACUACUACUAAUUUGAACCCAGAUUAUAUAAAUUCCAAAAGAACUCAAUACAGAGAUGCAGCCAAAAAAAAAUCCAAUACUGGACAGUGAAAUGAAGUAAAUGUCAUCCAAUAACAUUGGAGCACAAUUCCAUUAAUAUGAAAGAACGGAGAAGGCUCAAGCAGAGAGGAUGAUAAUUAAGUUUGUGCACAGAUAAAAUCCUAGAAAUCAUUUAAGAAGAUUCCCAAGAAGAACCAAGUGAGACAGAAAAUGUAUCUUCACCUAUUACUCUCUCUUUCACACACGCAUACACAUAUAUACGGCACAGAAACUGUAGCUUCACCUCUAGUAUCCACUACUAUGAACAAGAUUAAGCAUAUUGCAUUCCCACCCACAUAGAAGGCCAUAAAAGAAUCUCAAAAAAAAUACACAAAAUUUCCAGAGAGGUAAUAGCAGAAUUAUGAAUGCAUAGAAACUGAAGCUUAUAAUUGAUUGCAACUUUGGAAUUAAACAACAUUUUGCUAUCAAACAGGCACACACGCACACACAAAAAUUGUCCCAUAUUUCAUACAAGCAUAUAAACAAACACAUAGCCUACUGCCAUAAUCAAAAUCGAGUAUGAGAGUUUUUCAUCAACAAGAUACAAAAAGCAUAAACCUAAUACAUUAAUUCCAGCGUUAUUUAUACCGAACAAAGGCAUGAUUCGAAUUAAGACCCAACAAAAAAUCUUGAAUUAAAUGAGAAGAUGAAGAAAUUCAGGGGCUUACUUUGAAUAUUUAGAGGGGAAAAUGACAGUCCUUUGCAAAUUAAUCUCAGCAAGUCGAAAUCUUUUGGAAAGCCAGAGGCUCAGAACGAAUUAUUGUAUUCUACUCUUCCAAAUUUUAGUAAUUUGCUUGAUCUGUGAAGAGUGAGAACCAGAUAGAGAGAGAGAGUCCUAUAGCGCAAUUAUAUUUUUC
rnacentral:lncRNA from 1 species